UACGUAGGGUGCAAGCGUUGUCCGGAAUUAUUGGGCGUAAAGAGCUUGUAGGCGGUUUGUCGCGUCUGCCGUGAAAGCCCAGGGCUUAACCCUGGGUCUGCGGUGGGUACGGGCAGACUAGAGUGUGGUAGGGGAGAGUGGAAUUCCUGGUGUAGCGGUGAAAUGCGUAGAUAUCAGGAGGAACACCGGUGGUGUAGACGGCUCUCUGGACCGUAACUGACGCUGAGACACGAAAGCGUGGGUAGCAAACAGG
rnacentral:rRNA from 1 species